rnacentral:rRNA from 1 species
AGUGAACGCUGGCGGUAGGCCUAACACAUGCAAGUCGAACGGCAGCACAGGAGAGCUUGCUCUCUGGGUGGCGAGUGGCGGACGGGUGAGGAAUACAUCGGAAUCUACUCUGUCGUGGGGGAUAACGUAGGGAAACUUACGAUAAUACCGCAUACGACCUACGGGUGAAAGCAGGGGACCUUCGGGCCUUGCGCGAUUGAAUGAGCCGAUGUCGGAUUAGCUAGUUGGCGGGGUAAAGGCCCACCAAGGCGACGAUCCGUAGCUGGUCUGGGAGGAUGCUCAGCCACACUGGAACUGAGACACGGUCCAGACUCCUACGGGAGGCAGCAGUGGGGAAUAUUGGACAAUGGGCGCAAGCCUGAUCCAGCCAUACCGCGUGGGUGAAGAAGGCCUUCGGGUUGUAAAGCCCUUUUGUUGGGAAAGAAAUCCAGCUGGCUAAUACCCGGUUGGGAUGACGGUACCCAAAGAAUAAGCACCGGCUAACUUCGUGCCAGCCGCCGCGGUAA